rnacentral:rRNA from 1 species
UACGUAGGGGGCAAGCGUUGUUCGGAAUUACUGGGCGUAAAGGGCGCGUAGGCGGUUCGCUAAGUUGGAUGUGAAAACUCUGGGCUUAACCCAGAGCCUGCAUCCAAAACUGGCAAACUUGAGUACUGGAGGGGAAAGCGGAAUUCCUGGUGUAGCGGUGAAAUGCGUAGAUAUCAGGAGGAACACCGGUGGCGAAGGCGGCUUUCUGGACAGUAACUGACGCUGAUGCGCGAAAGCUAGGGGAGCAAAGCAGG